rnacentral:rRNA from 1 species
UACGUAGGGUGCGAGCGUUAAUCGGAUUUACUGGGCGUAAAGCGUGCGCAGGCGGCCCGUUAAGACAGGUGUGAAAUCCCUGGGCUCAACCUAGGAAUUGCGCUUGUGACUGGCGGGCUCGAGUACGGUAGAGGAGGGUGGAAUUCCUGGUGUAGCAGUGAAAUGCGUAGAGAUCAGGAGGAACACCGAUGGCGAAGGCAGCCCCCUGGGCCUGUACUGACGCUCAGGCGCGAAAGCGUGGGGAGCAAACAGG